CACCUUUCCUGGAUUCGAAAAGAAUCUUCUCACAAUUAAGAAACAGCAAGUCAGAGGCUGGAGCAAUGCUCAGAUCCGGCUUGAGGACACCUGCUGCUCUGGCGGAGGACCGGAGUUUUAUCCCCAGAUCCCACACUGGGCAGCUUACCGCCAGAUUCUUUGUUAAACUGUCUCAAGAAUGAUAUGCAGCCCACUUACUUUUCAAAUUUUUGCUUCCCUUGGACUCUAUGGAGUUAUACUUCCACAGCCCUCAUCACUCAGCGCUCUUGUCUCCUGUCUCCUGCCGGAAUGGCCCCAUACUUCUAAUGUGAACAAAGCAGCGUUGGCAAUCUGUCAAAAAAAAAACCCCAAGUUUUCAGUUUGUAAGGAUUGCUCUUCUGGGACUGGAAGGUCUUUGUCAACAUAUUUCAGAAGUGAUUCUAUUUGAUGUGAUGAAGGUCCAGGUGACACUAUCGUGGUGGGAAUGAAGAUAAUUUAGGAAGACACUUCUGCUCAUCAUUUUGGCUCUCAGACUUUUAAAAACAAUGGACCUCAAGAGCUGGACCCUAAGAAGUCAGAAUUUCUCCAGGAAUCUCAUUGCUGGGGCAAGAAAACCCAUGAGAACUGAUGUUAACACCUUGCCUCCCAGGAAGAGAUUCCACAGGAUUCUUACUGGAUCACCUUGCAGGCCAGACUGUCAUGGAGACAAUAGUGAUGGGUAGGACCACACCUUGACCAGGACCAUCCUCUAUUUAAACUUCAAGUUCAUGUCAGGAUACCCCAAGACUGGACACGGGGGUGAAGGGUGAGGGUCACUGGAUCUUUUGGCUCUUCUUCUCAGUGUGGAUACAUUGAAUAAAUCUCUUCUUUCUGCCCCUUUCUGCUGGAUUUCUCCAUUGGUCUAUUGAGACUGGCGACUGAACCUGGGGUUCAGUAGGGGCUGGCACAUCUCAGACUCUCAGGUCUCAGGCUACGGUCUUAGAGGUUCCAGACCCAGGCACCUGGAUGGACCAGAGGUUAGAUAGUCUGGA